rnacentral:rRNA from 1 species
AGAGUUUGAUCCUGGCUCAGGACGAACGCUGGCGGCGUGCUUAACACAUGCAAGUCGAAAGGAAAGUGCCCUUUCGGGGGUGACUCGAGUGGCGAACGGGUGAGUAACACGUGGGUGAUCUGCCCUGCACUUUGGGAUAAGCCUGGGAAACUGGGUCUAAUACCGAAUACACCCUGCUGGUCGCAUGGCCUGGUGGGGGAAAGCUUUUGCGGUGUGGGAUGGGCCCGCGGCCUAUCAGCUUGUUGGUGGGGUGAUGGCCUACCAAGGCGACGACGGGUAGCCGGCCUGAGAGGGUGUCCGGCCACACUGGGACUGAGAUACGGCCCAGACUCCUACGGGAGGCAGCAGUGGGGAAUAUUGCACAAUGGGCGCAAGCCUGAUGCAGCGACGCCGCGUGAGGGAUGACGGCCUUCGGGUUGUAAACCUCUUUCAAUAGGGACGAAGCGUAAGUGACGGUACCCAUAGAAGAAGCACCGGCCAACUACGUGCCAGCAGCCGCGGUAAUAC